rnacentral:rRNA from 1 species
CCCUUAGAUGUCCGGGGCUGCACGCGCGCUACACUGAAGGAAUCAGCGUGCUAAAACCAUUGUCGAAAGGCAUUGGUAAACCCAUUAAAAUCCUACGUGAUUGGGAUCGUGAAUUGCAAUUAUUUCCCUUGAACGAGGAAUUCCCAGUAAGUGUGGGUCAUAAGCUCGCGUUGAUUACGUCCCUGCCCUUUGUACACACCGCCCGUCGCUGCCCGGGACUGAGCCGUUUCGAGAAAAGCGGGGACUGCUGCUGUCGGGGCUUUCGGGCCUUGGCUUCGGUGGAAACCGCUUUAAUCGCAGUGGCUUGAACCGGGCAAAAGUCGUAACA